AUGCCCAAUGGCUCCAUCAAGGAGAAGACGACUGCAGAUAUGGUCGAUAGGUCUAUCAACAUAGCUGCGAAAAUGAUGGAGGGGAAGAAGAAUGAGAGCAAGUCAAAGACGAAUAAGGGGAUCAAAGUGAAGAAGAGAGUGCGGACAUGCAAGAAGAGGGAUGGCAAGAAGCCACAAAAGAAGAGGCCCGUUGUUGACAUGGGUGAGGUGUUCUACUACUACGACGGGUUUGGCCCCUCACGCACCUCCAAGAGGCAUUGCAGAUCAAGCGGUGAUAAUAGUGUGCUGGAAGAAUCUCCACUACCCAUUGAACAACAGAAAGAUGAGGCAUGCACCCGAACACAAUUUGAUUUUAGUGCAAGUCAAGCUAAUGUCACUGACCAUCAGGCUCUGCUGACAUCAACACAGGUUGAGAAGCCUAGGCUGAAUGGGAGCAAUGCCAACAUUGUUAGCUGCCAUGAGGAGAGCAGCAACGACGACGCACCUGGUUGCAACGGCAAACAACUGCGCAACAUUAUGAUGAUGAAGAGCCCGUUCAAGAAGAGGUGGAGGAAGCAUGUUAAAGCCCGAUCGCUCAAGUCGCUGAUGUAA
rnacentral:rRNA from 1 species